rnacentral:miRNA from 1 species
CGUGGUAUCAGAGUCAUGUUA